GGGAAACCGAGUCUUAACUGGGCGUUAAGUUGCAGGGUAUAGACCCGAAACCCGGUGAUCUAGCCAUGGGCAGGUUGAAGGUUGGGUAACACUAACUGGAGGACCGAACCGACUAAUGUUGAAAAAUUAGCGGAUGACUUGUGGCUGGGGGUGAAAGGCCAAUCAAACCGGGAGAUAGCUGGUUCUCCCCGAAAGCUAUUUAGGUAGCGCCUCGUGAAUUCAUCUCCGGGGGUAGAGCACUGUUUCGGCAAGGGGGUCAUCCCGACUUACCAACCCGAUGCAAACUGCGAAUACCGGAGAAUGUUAUCACGGGAGACACACGGCGGGUGCUAACGUCCGUCGUGAAGAGGGAAACAACCCAGACCGCCAGCUAAGGUCCCAAAGUCAUGGUUAAGUGGGAAACGAUGUGGGAAGGCCCAGACAGCCAGGAUGUUGGCUUAGAAGCAGCCAUCAUUUAAAGAAAGCGUAAUAGCUCACUGGUCGAGUCGGCCUGCGCGGAAGAUGUAACGGGGCUAAACCAUGCACCGAAGCUGCGGCAGCGACACUGUGUGUUGUUGGGUAGGGGAGCGUUCUGUAAGCCUGUGAAGGUGUGCUGUGAGGCAUGCUGGAGGUAUCAGAAGUGCGAAUGCUGACAUAAGUAACGAUAAAGCGGGUGAAAAGCCCGCUCGCCGGAAGACCAAGGGUUCCUGUCCAACGUUAAUCGGGGCAGGGUGAGUCGACCCCUAAGGCGAGGCCGAAAGGCGUAGUCGAUGGGAAACAGGUUAAUAUUCCUGUACUUGGUGUUACUGCGAAGGGGGGACGGAGAAGGCUAUGUUGGCCGGGCGACGGUUGUCCCGGUUUAAGCGUGUAGGCUGGUUUUCCAGGCAAAUCCGGAAAAUCAAGGCUGAGGCGUGAUGACGAGGCACUACGGUGCUGAAGCAACAAAUGCCCUGCUUCCAGGAAAAGCCUCUAAGCAUCAGGUAACAUCAAAUCGUACCCCAAACCGACACAGGUGGUCAGGUAGAGAAUACCAAGGCGCUUGAGAGAACUCGGGUGAAGGAACUAGGCAAAAUGGUGCCGUAACUUCGGGAGAAGGCACGCUGAU
rnacentral:rRNA from 1 species